ensembl:lncRNA
AAGGUGGCUGGGGCUGAAGGCAGCAGGUGGUUUGGUUCUCUGAAGACAAAUUAGGGAACGCAGAGGAUGACAGAUGGGCAGGUGCUGGGUCAUUGUGAAAGGGGUUUCCCAGGUGAAACAAAGAUUUUUUUCUAUUUAAAUUUGGGCUGAGCACAAGGAUUUCAUCACUCUUUAUUAACUGGCUUUCGAACUUUGCCCACGAAUGUAUUAGGAAUCUCUUUGUGGCAGAUUAGUUUGGGAAAUAACUCAAGCAACAAAGAGAAGAGAAAUGAGAGACCAGGGAGACCAACCGUCCCUUAUCUGCAAUUCCAAAGGGCGCUCCUGAGCUUUCCAAAAGAGCCACGGCAACAGCACAGCCACAGCCACAGAAGUGCAGUGUCACUCAGGACACAGCAUCAGAGCCACAUACCAAGGAACUUUGGGAACUGGAAAGGACUUCAGAGAAUAUGAAGUGUGGAGACUUGACAGUGGUAGCAGAGAUCCAGGAUGCCAAGAAAGGAAUCUCAGCAGAAAAUAUGGCAGUUCAGGGCGAAGAGCUGAUUACAAGAGCAAGAUGUGUAGGAACCAGUGCCUUCUGGUAUGUUGAUGGAACUACUGCUGUGAUGAUCAUCAGUGCUAAUGAUCCAUCAUGGGAAUGUUAUCGUGACACUUGGCCCAAUUUACGUGGAUCCUUUUGUUGACUUCUGCUUGGUAACCAGGGUGCCACUGUCCAGGCCUGCCCCUCACAUUUGUGGGGCAAGGCCAAGAGUGCAAAUGGAGGCCUACGUAGUUAAACGUUACAAAUUCAACUGACAACCAAAUUUAAUAGCAAUGUGAAUUAUUUAAUAUUGCAAAAUGUUCCUUAGCCACCAUAGAUAUACAACUGCUGUGAAAGCAGCACUGAUCAAUGAGAGCAUCCAGAAGCACACAUUGGAACACGAAGAGAAGCAAGAAAGUGGAUGCCGGCACAGCUGGGAAUUUUAUUGUUAUUCAAGAAUCUAUUGCAUUCCUGGUCUCUGAGAGGAAGGAUUGGAUAAGUUAAUCUGUCUUUUCUUGAUCUGAGCACACUGCCCACCUCCGAUGCCGCACCUUCACAGCAGUCAGACAGUCCACCUUUGUUUGAGGCUUCAGAGCAAAAGGUUUGGAGGUGGGUUUCCUGGGCUCUAAAUGGUGCUCACCAAGAGGCUGGAUGUUUAGGUUUUGUGUAUGUAAUAUGUGGGGUGCUCGAAAGCAUGGGGUCCCGUUGUUGGGUCAGCAUUGUUUUAUUUCAUUUUGUUUUAUCUUUGGAUCUUAGAUCCAGAUAUUUUAGUUCAGCUUACUCCUCACUUCAUGAUACAAAAGUGCUAGUACCUGGAUUUAUUUACUAUAUCUGGUCUCAUCGUCAUUAUUACUUUUAGUCUAAUAUCUCAUUCAAGUUCUCUUCCUAAAAUUUACAAUGAAGAAAAUAAUAACCGCCUAUGUUUCUAGCUUUCUCUUUGUAGAUUGCUUGAAACACAGGAUGCUUCUAGCAAAUUCAGAUUCAAACUUAGUGAAAUCUGAUUUAUUUUACAAUGUUAAUAUAGGUUCCAUCUGGGGAGUAGCAGUGCAAGGAGAAAGAGGAGAAACUUUAAUUUUCACUGUAUAUACUUGUGUAUUGCUGUAAUAUUUUUUAUCAAGCAUUUACUACCUUUGUAAUAAUAUGUACAAUUUUAAG